UGAGGAAUAUUGCACAAUGGGCGCAAGCCUGAUGCAGCAACGCCGCGUGAGGGACGAAGGCCUUCGGGUCGUAAACCUCUUUUCUGGGGGACGAGUAAGGACGGUACCCCAGGAAUAAGUCUCGGCUAACUACGUGCCAGCAGCCGCGGUAAAACGUAGGAGGCGAGCGUUAUCCGGAUUUACUGGGCGUAAAGCGUACGCAGGUGGCUUCGUUAGUCGGACAUGAAAGCUCCUGGCUUAACUGGGAGAGGUUGAUCGAUACUGCGGGGCUUGAGGUUGGGAGAGGGACGUGGAAUUCCCGGCGUAGUGGUGGAAUGCGUAGAUAUCGGGAGGAACACCAGUGGCGCAAGCGGCGUCCUGGCCCACACCUGACGCUGAGGUACGAAAGCGUGGGUAGCAAACAG
rnacentral:rRNA from 1 species